rnacentral:lncRNA from 1 species
GUACUACAUAUAACUUUCAGCUUGUGUUUGCUAGGGGUUAUAACUAUGGAAUAAGGGACUUACUUUGUGGUAUUCUUGUCAAACACCAAAUUGGGGGCUCAUCAUAGGCUCAUACCUUGACAAACAGCACAACCCCAUCCUAUGGAGGGGGGAGGUAGAAUAGCUUUUACUAUUUUCCUCCAAUUUUGGGGCAUUCUUAUUUGUCUCUAUUUCCAUAUUGUCCCUCUUCUUCAAUUCAACUCUUCCUUUCAUGCAUCCUCACUCUUGCCUUGCACUGUUGCUGCUCCCUC